ACGCUCGACACCUACUGGAGGCAGCAGUAGGGAAUCUUCCACAAUGGGCGCAAGCCUGAUGGAGCAACACCGCGUGAGUGAAGAAGGGUUUCGGCUCGUAAAGCUCUGUUGUUGGAGAAGAACGUGCGUGAGAGUAACUGUUCACGCAGUGACGGUAUCCAACCAGAAAGUCACGGCUAACUACGUGCCAGUAGCCGCGGUAAUCUGAGCGGGCUGGCAAGGC
rnacentral:rRNA from 1 species